AAUGUAUAGGUAAUAUGCCUCUUACGUAAGGGAUAACAAAUGGUAAACGUUUGCUAAUACCUUAUACUCCUUAUUAACAGAAGUUAAUAAGGGAAAGAUUUAUUGGUAAGAGAUUAGCCUGUAUUGUAUCAGUUAGUUGGUGGGGUAAUGGCUUACCAAGACUAUGACACAUAACUGGUUUGAGAGGAUGAUCAGUCACACUGGAACUGAGACACGGUCCAGACUCCUACGGGAGGCAGCAGGUGGGGAAUAUUGCACAAUGGACGAAAGUCUGAUGCAGCAACGCCGCGUGGAGGAUGACACAUUUCGGUGCGUAAACUCCUUUUAUAUGAGAAGAUAAUGACGGUAUUAUAUGAAUAAGCACCGGCUAACUCCGUG
rnacentral:rRNA from 1 species